AUUCAGCUGAAGAGUCCCAAAUAGAACGAAAUGUGCGUCUGGUAU
rfam:Schistosoma mattheei strain Denwood, Zambia genome assembly, scaffold: SMTD_scaffold0004566